ACAGUGACCCGGGUGUUUAUUUCCCACCACUCAGCUUGAGAAAAAAGAAAAAAGAAAAGGAAAUCCUUCAGUUAGAAGAACAAUGAUGAGAACAUGAUCUAUACCAAGGAAUGCAGAGCUCCAGAAAUGGAAAUACCUGAGCAGGUCAUGGCACUUUACCUGGCUGGGGGACCUAAAUCUUCAUUUCUGAAGGAUCUGAGUCAUUAUUAGCCCUG